rnacentral:rRNA from 1 species
UCGAUUUGGAGUUUGUUGCCUAGAGUGAUGGGCUCCGAAGCUAACGCGAUAAAUCGACCGCCUGGGGAGUACGGCCGCAAGGUUAAAACUCAAAUGAAUUGACGGGGGCCCGCACAAGCGGUGGAGCAUGUGGUUUAAUUCGAUGCAACGCGAAGAACCUUACCUGGUCUUGACAUCCACAGAAUCUUGCAGAGAUGUGAGAGUGCCUUCGGGAAUUGUGAGACAGGUGCUGCAUGGCUGUCGUCAGCUCGUGUUGUGAAAUGUUGGGUUAAGUCCCGCAACGAGCGCAACCCUUAUCCUUUGUUGCCAUCGGUUAGGCCGGGAACUCAAAGGAGACUGCCGUUGAUAAAGCGGAGGAAGGUGGGGACGACGUCAAGUCAUCAUGGCCCUUACGACCAGGGCUACACACGUGCUACAAUGGCGUAUACAAAGGGAGGCGACCUCGCGAGAGCAAGCGGACCUCAUAAAGUACGUCUAAGUCCGGAUUGGAGUCUGCAACUCGACUCCAUGAAGUCGGAAAUCGCUAGUAAUCGUGAAAUCAGAAUGUCACGGUGAAUACGUUCCCGGGCCU